GACGAACGCUGGCGGCGUGCUUAACACAUGCAAGUCGAGCGGUAAGGCCUUUCGGGGUACACGAGCGGCGAACGGGUGAGUAACACGUGGGUGACCUGCCUUUAGCUUCGGGAUAAGCCUGGGAAACUGGGUCUAAUACCGGAUAUGACCUCAUGUCGCAUGGUGUGGGGUGGAAAGUUUUUCGGCUAGAGAUGGGCCCGCGGCCUAUCAGCUUGUUGGUGGGGUGAUGGCCUACCAAGGCGACGACGGGUAGCCGGCCUGAGAGGGCGACCGGCCACACUGGGACUGAGAUACGGCCCAGACUCCUACGGGAGGCAGCAGUGGGGAAUCUUGCGCAAUGGGCGAAAGCCUGACGCAGCGACGCCGCGUGAGGGAUGACGGCCUGG
rnacentral:rRNA from 1 species